rnacentral:rRNA from 1 species
CGCCAGCCCCUCGAGUGGUGGGGAUGAUUAUUUGGCCUAAAGCGUCCGUAGCCGGCCGGGUAAGUUUCCCGUUAAAUCCAGCGUCUCAAGCGUUGGACUGCGGGAAAUACUGCCUGGCUAGAGAGUGGGAGAGGUGUACGGUAUUCUGGGGGUAGGGGCGAAAUCCUUUGAUCCCCGGAGGACCACCAGUGGCGAAGGCUGUACACUAGAACACGUCUGACGGUCAGGGACGAAAGCUGGGGUAGCGAACCGGAUUAGAUACCCGGGUAGUCCCAGCUGUAAACGAUGCAUGCUAGGUGUUGGGUUGGCCACGAGCCACCCCAGUGCCGCAGGGAAGCCGUUAAGCAUGCCGCCUGGGAAGUACGAUCGCAAGAUUGAAACUUAAAGGAAUUGGCGGGGGAGCACCACCAGGCGUGAAGCCUGCGGUUU